UUUCGCUACAUCGCACGCGCAUCUACGGCAGGUGUAGCGGCGUAAAAAAUCUCACCAAGCAAACGCUCGAGGGCGAGAGCGUCCGAGACAACACCAAGGUGAGACAUAUUGGCAAUCCUGAUGGACCUGUAGUGCUCCUGCCUCGGGUCUCCACCCAUCACCGUGUCCAGCGCAAGUAUGCUCGCCAAGUUCACGACGCCGUCGCCGUCUCCGUACACCACCUCCGGGGCCGCGCCGAGGCCGC
rnacentral:lncRNA from 1 species